rnacentral:rRNA from 1 species
UGGGGUAAUUUUCCGCAAUGGGCGAAAGCCUGACGGAGCAAUGCCGCGUGGAGGUGGAAGGCCUACGGGUCGUCAACUUCUUUUCUCGGAGAAGAAACAAUGACGGUAUCUGAGGAAUAAGCAUCGGCUAACUCUGUGCCAA